rnacentral:lncRNA from 1 species
CCAGUAAGUCCGUGUCGGAUGGACCUUGUUGCGCACGCAGGCAUCGCAAACCCCCCCGGCACCAGCCCGCGGUUCGCGCGCAUCCUUACAGCCCGGUUUAGCGGCCGCGACGCGUGUCUAGCAUAUGGGGUGCAUCCGCCGUAGCUGCGUCGUUUGGGCUUCAAAUGUUCCAGCUAGCCGUAGGGUUGUCCAUACGACGGGCCUGCGUUGGAAGCAGCCGUCAUAUCCGACUGUCCCAGCAACCGUGGCGCGGGAGCUGUCCCUGUCAUGUGACUGAAGCACGCGAACGCCGUGGAGCACGACAUGAGAUAUCGGCGAUGCCACCAAUUAGCCCAGCCGUGAGCCCCAAGCAAGAGAGCCGAGUCUGAGCCUGCCCGAGCCUGGGGCACCCCAAGUGACGGCAGUCACGCCGAGCAUGAGGCAUUCCGAGAGGAGUACGGUACCAGUUAACAAGAGCGUGCGAGCAUCAGGCGUGAGAGCCGCAGAGUCCGGGCUGAGGGGCACGAGGCCAAGCGCUCGAGGCCUCGCGAUCAAGCACAAGCACAUGUCCCCAAGCACGCGCGGUCCGAGCAUGUGGCAAGCAAGCAUCCUCCGAGCGCGAGACGUUGACUGGUCGGGCCGAGGCGCGGUGUCGCAUGGACAAGCCCCCGAGUUUAUUAACACGAGGGCCGAGAGCCGAGAAGUGAUGUAGCUCUUCACUCACGGGUAUGCCCGCCGGCGACCCCCGAACUAGGUGUUAGUGAGUUUGCAUGUGUAAAGCUAGCGCGGUGCUGGUGUAAGAGAUGUUCUGGCAGGGUGUGUAGCGAGCAUGCGCCAGUAUGUGUCACGGGGGCAAGCAGGGGCACGUGUGGCCUUGCUGCCUUCCCUGCUGGAGUGCGCGCUGUCGCACGAAUUGGUGCGGCAGAGAUGGAAUCAAAUGCUCGUUGAGAGCACUACACACCAUGUGCAUCGCUAUAGGUGCGUGGAACGCUGCUAACGACUGCGUUUUGGCUCCCCACUGCCCUUGCAUUCGUCGCAACCGCCAGGCGCCCUCGUGGAUUCGGCUUCAUUGAGUUCAAGGUGGGGCGGGCAUUGACAGGCCGGCCACGAAAGGCAGCUGCGUGUGCAUGUGCACCUUUCUGCUAGAGGAUUUGUGGGAUGAUCACUGGACCCGAUGGCAGGUCCAUGCCGCUUUCCCUCGCCUGUUAUCUUCAUUCUGCAUCCGUCAACAAGUUGCUAUGCCAUCACAUAACUGUGCGAAUGCCGACUCGCAGGAGACGCGCGACGCCGAGGACGCCAUGUACAACCUGGACCGCUCCGUGGUGAACGGGCGCGAGAUCUCGGUGAGGCCGGCACAGGGGCUUAAACGGGUUGGGCGGGCGUUUACUGGCACCACCCAGGGUGCAGACAGUCGAGCUGAGGGCACUUCAUGGCAACGGGGAAUCGGCGUCGGAGGUGUUCUGCUGGGCAAGACAGGCACGGCCAUGGCGGUGUGCGGGUGUACCGCAAGGCUGGCAUUGCCAGGGCCCAUUCAUAACCGGUCGCCUGGUGACAUGCUUAUGCCGCAGGUGACGUUCUCGCGUGAGGGCCGCAAAACCCCCCGCGACAUGAUGCGCAUCGAGUCCAAGACCAAGGGCGGUGAGUUGCGGGGAGUGAGUGAGAGCGCUGUGGACCAGACAGGCAGACGGGGAACACGGUGCAUUGACGUCAAAUCUGGAUUUAAGAAUGCAGAUUUAUAGAAUGUUAAUGGCUCACACUCAGUGUGUUCAACACGACAUGGAACGGUUUGUCUCGCAGACGAGCGCCGCGACGACCGCCGCCGGAGCCGCAGCCGCUCGCCGCGCCGCAGCAGCCGGCGCAGCAGCCGGUCACCUCGACGCAGCCGCUCCCGGUCCCCCCGCCGCAGCCGCAGCCCGCGCGCUGACCGCGGCCGCGACCGGAGCCCCCGCGACCGCAGCCCCCGUGACCGCAGCCCCCGCGAUCGGAGUCCGCGCGACCGCAGCCCGCGGGAGCGGAGCCCGGUGCGUGUUGAGCGUGAGCGCAGCCCCGAGCGCGAGCGCAGCCCGGAGCGGGAGCGCGUCCGCGAGGACAGCCGCAGCCCGCCUCCCCGGGAGCGGAGCCCGCCGCCGCGUGACCGCAGCCCGCCCCCGCGGGAGCGGAGCCCGUCUCCUCGCAGGUGCGGCCCUUGGCGUGGGUUUAGCUGCUGCGCACUCCGUGGCCUGCUGGCGCAUCAAUGCGUCGCUUGCAGGGUGCUGGGUGGCGCCAAUGGUUGCAUGCACCCAUGGCUUACCCCAUGCUGUGCCCCAUCUCUCACAGGGACUCGCCCCCGCGCGAUGACUACGCUGGUGAUGACUUCUGAGGAGCAGCGCGUGCUGGCAGCGCUGUUGAAACAGGGCUUGGCGGGGAUCUGUGGGGUCGGAAUGACCCACAAUACAAACUUGUGUGUGUGCAUGAUUAUUCUGCGCGCAAGGUACGGCGAAGCGCCUCACUGUCUUCGGGCGGCCUGACAUUCGGAUGCAAUCGUCGUUCACAUUUACAAUACGGAAUGCAGCCGUGAGGCUGCUGAAUGGGCGCGCUGUAGGGUGGUGGCACAGGAGUUGACGGGCGCGAUUGAGGUGGGCGUUGACGUGAAGGUCGGCCCACUGGAUUGGGUGUUGACAGGCCAUGACGUGAUGAAGUGGCUGUCGGUGACUGCGCACAACAAAGCCUGCAAAGGGCAUCCCGGUUACCAACACUCAAUGCCGCUGGCACUAUUCGUCCAUGUACCGUGCGUUGGAUAGGACAUGGCUGGCGUCCGUGACCGGAAAGCUGCUUGCACUGGAGGCACUGCAGUGCUGCUGUCAAGUAGGUGACCCCCAUGACUUGGGUGCUUCGGAGAAAGGCGAGCACUGACACGAGGCCUGGCGGCUGGCGCGCAGCGCGGCACGGUGUAAUGACACGGAUUUUGCAAUGUGGUUGGCCUGCUUUGAUGGGCCGUGCCUACCAGCAGCGCAUCACACCACCAGACUGCACAUGCCCCUGCCCCUGAAGUCCAACCCAGCGUGCCGACCCAUUCCACAGCAUUCAGCGCACUAUGAUUUAUGACGAGUGGUGACCCACCUACCCUAGCUCAGACGUGUGUGUGCGCGUGUCCCCUCUCCGCGCUCCCGUGCCGCAGGGCUGCUGGUUUUAAGACGCCGCCUCCUGUCUUGCCACCGGGGAGCUCUUCGUGAGCCCGGGCCCCAUCCAGCCACGUACCCAAGUACCCACCUACGUACCAGCCCCAGCGCUGCCAGCCUCUGCAGCCACCCAGCGUCCCAUGCCAGCUGUCCCGUGCCUCUCCCCAGCUGUCCCGUGCCUCUCCCCAGCUGUCCCACCCCAGCAGUCCCACAUCCGCUGUCCCCUCCCAGCUGUCCCUUCCAGUAGUCCCUUCCAGUUGUCCCUUCCAGCUGUCCCACACCAGCUGUCCCACCCCAGCUGUCCCACCCCUACGGGACUACGCUUUCCUGCCCCUUGCCAUGUUCCAUCACGAGCUCAGACACGCACGUCAGGCCCGCGCUUCCUCACACUCCGGUUGUGUUUGUCUCGCACUCGCAUUCGAUUCGCCCGCCACUCAUCCGUACAUUCGGGCUCCAUUGUCUGCCUUGCCGCGCCCUGUUUUCGCCCCUGCUUGUCAUACUGUCGCCCGGCCAUUGCUUUGCUGCAUACUGUUGCAUUUUCUCUAUGUUGCAUUUGGUGCUCAUCCGUGGACGCUGGUCAUCUUCCUGCAGGUGCGGUGCGGCUCUGCAUCGCGAGCGAGUGUGGCGUUGUGGUGUGUCUGUGUGGUGCUAUCGCCUGGCCGGGCGCCCGGAGCGUGAGGAAUGCGCAUCAGCAAACUUCCAGCCAGCCAGCAACUUGUCGGUACAGUAACUCCGGCGUUCGACCAGCCAUGCACUCCUGCUCUGCCGCUGCAAACUGUUUGCUGUCUGCUUGGGGUACGGGCGUCAGCUGCACCCUAUGGGACCUCGCCAACCUGCCUGAACCCUGUCCCAUCACACACGCACGUCAGGCCCUCCAGCUGAGCUGCGUGCUCCCACUCGGUACGUAAAACACCAGGUCAAAUGGCGACGACUCCUGCCCAGCCACGCUCGGGCUCGGGCGCAAGCACUUUCCACACGGCCAUUGCGCUCCUACGCCAUACUUCAUUGCUUGAUUAUUACGCCCCCGACAAGACUUCCCACCACACCUCCCUUGUACGCCACAGGUGAUAGGUGAUAGCGUUUACCAACACACUUGUGCGGCCGUUCUGUUAGCUUGGGGCAUACCUACUGCGUCUGCAUAAUUGACACAGCGCUUGAGCCUUCAAAAAGGAUCGAUGCGUCAGGCACCGUCGCGCCUCACCGCUAAAAGCACGCCUGCGCGCCGCCUGGGCUGUGCCUCUGCUCCCGGCCGCCCACCCCUGCGGCCGCCCGUACGCAUUCUCAAACCCCACGCCACCUUCCCCCGCAGGCCCGCUCAGAUCUUCCCCGCCGCCUUAUCACGCUCCUCCUGCCGCUGAAUCUCCUGUAGUGUCAUGGCAGGCGGAGUGCAAGUCAGAGUUUUGACGUGCCAUGCCGCGGAGGACCGCAAAUAUCUAUUAUUCAGCCCCACGCGCCGUUGAGCAUGGUCGCCUUCGUCACAAGAAUCAUACGAAUUUAAUGCUUGCAGACACACGGGCGACAGCAGAGUUAGUACACGCGGUGGUGAUUGUGCGCGCUGUCGCACGCGUCGCAACUCCCCGCGCACCUCCUGAAUCUGCUCAUAAAUGUUAGGGCGCCGCCAGAUGACCCAGCUAUAGGUAGCAACGGGAAUGGAGCAGACCGCGAGGAACGUCGCCCAGCGAGGAAGCAUUUUCUCCUCCUCUUGGUCCUUAAGCUGGUAUAAUAUAUGCUCCAAAACGGAAGAAGAAGUUGCCAAAUAGCGAAAGUGAAGCGAGUUUGGGCUCGAGGGUUUGCGAGCUCAGCUUGUUUGCUGUGUCAAUGAGGAUUUCUUGGAAAGCUCUUUUUGUCGAGUGCAAAACACCAAGAGUACAAGCGUGUGCGACGGGCGUCAACUCCUGCCUAGGGAUGCCCUCGGGUUUGCCGAUGG